GACGAACGCUGGCGGCGUGCUUAACACAUGCAAGUCGAACGGAAAGGCCCCCUUGUGGGGUACUCGAGUGGCGAACGGGUGAGUAACACGUGAGUAACCUACCCUUGACUUUGGGAUAACUUCAGGAAACUGGGGCUAAUACCGGAUAGGCGCUCCUGCUGCAUGGUGGGGGGUGGAGAGUUUCGGCGGUUGGGGAUGGACUCGGGGCUUAUCAGCUUGUUGGUGGGGUAGUGGCUCACCAAGGCUUUGACGGGUAGCCGGCCUGUGAGGGUGACCGGCCACCUUGGGACUGAGAUACGGCCCAGACGCCUACGGGAGGCAGCAGUGGGGAAUAUUGCACAAUGGGCGGAAGCCUGAUGCAGCAACGCCGCGUGCGGGAUGACGGCCUUCGGGUUGUAAACCGCUUUCGCCUGUGACGAAGCGUGAGUGACGGUAAUGGGUAAAGAAGCACCGGCUAACUACGUG
rnacentral:rRNA from 1 species